GGGGGUGUUUUUGGUAUUCGAUGAGUAAACGUUUGGAUUGAGCCACAGCCGCGAAGGAACGCGUUAUAACCAAAUUAAAUUAAACGCUAAAACAAAUUUCGCUAACAUCUUUGGUGCAAACCAGAGCUUAGCUUUUGCUGCUUAAUUUUAGUCUAAGUUGACUUGCAGCCUGCCCGUUAGAUUUCGCUUUCUUAUCUGAUGGGAUGUGUCUCGAAAAGAAGCUAGAAGUUAUGCCUGAUCAGCCUCUGUUUUCGAACCACCGUUGAUCAACCCAUAUGUGAUCGUGUCCAUCCGAUGCAUAUGGUGAUUUGAUGGAAUAAGCUGUAAACGCUCUCUCGUGGGACUUUACUUAGACAGGAGUUCGACCCUCCUCACCUCCACCA
rnacentral:tmRNA from 1 species